rnacentral:tRNA from 1 species
CAGAAUGUAGCGCAGUGGUAGCGUAUCUGCUUUGGGAGUAGAAAGUCGUGUGUUCGAAUCACACCAUUUUGA